GUGGGGAAUAUUGGACAAUGGGCGAAAGCCUGAUCCAGCCAUGCCGCGUGUGUGAAGAAGGUCUUCGGAUUUUAAAGCACUUUAAGUUGGGAGGAAGGGCAGUAAGUUAAUACCUUGCUGUUUUGACGUUACCGACAGAAUAAGCACCGGCUAACUGCUUGCCAGCAGCCGCGGUAAUACGAAGGGUGCAAGCGUUAAUCGGAAUUACUGGGCGUAAAGCGCGAGUAGGUGGUUUUGUAAGUUGGAGGUGAAAUCCCCGGGCUCAACCUGGGAACGGCCUCCAAAACUGGAUGGCUAGAGUACUGUAGAGGGUAGUGGAAUUUCCUGUGUAGCGGUGAAAUGCGUAGAUAUAGGAAGGAACACCAGUGGCGAAGGCGACUACCUGGACUGAUACUGACACUGAGGUGCGAAAGCGUGGGGAGCAAACAGGAUUAGAAACCCUUGUAGUCC
rnacentral:rRNA from 1 species